GGAGUCUGCAACCCGACUCCAUGAAGGCGGAGUCGCUAGUAAUCGCGGAUCAGCAACGCCGCGGUGAAUGCGUUCCCGGGCCUUGUACACACCGCCCGUCAAGUCAUGAAAGUGGGUAGCACCCGAAGCCGGUGGCCUAACCCCUUGUGGGAUGGAGCCGUCUAAGGUGAGACUCGUGAUUGGGACUAAGUCGUAACAAGGUAGCCGUACCGGAAGGUGCGGCUGGAUCACCUCCUUU
rnacentral:rRNA from 1 species